UACGAAGGGGGCUAGCGUUGUUCGGAAUUACUGGGCGUAAAGCGCGCGUAGGUGGCCCCAUAAGUCCGCUGUGAAAGUCAAAGGCUCAACCUUUGAAAGCCGGUGGAUACUGUGGGACUAGAGUACGGAAGAGGCGAGUGGAAUUCCUGGUGUAGCGGUGGAAUGCGCAGAUAUCAGGAGGAACACCAAUAGCGAAGGCAGCUCGCUGGGACGUUACUGACACUGAGGCGCGAAAGCGUGGGGAGCGAACAGG
rnacentral:rRNA from 1 species